rnacentral:rRNA from 1 species
ACUCCUACGGGAGGCAGCAGUGGGGAAUAUUGCACAAUGGGGAAAGCCCAUCGAUGCAGCCAUGCCGCGCUGUGUGAAGAAGGCCAAUUCGGGGCUUUGGUUAAAGACACUUUCAGUAGGGAGGAAGGUAGUGUAGUUAACACCUGCAUCUUAUUGACUGUACCUACAGAAGAAGCACCGGCUAACUCCGUGCCAGCAGCCGCGGUAAUACGGAGGGUGCGAGCGUUAAUCGGAAUUACUGGGCGUAAAGCGCAUGCAGGCGGCCUGUUAAGUCAGAUGUGAAAG